rnacentral:rRNA from 1 species
AGUUGCGAAGGCGGCUCUCUGGACUGUAACUGACGCUGAGGCACGAAAGCGUGGGGAGCAAACAGGAUUAGAUACCCUGGUAGUCCACGCUGUAAACGAUGAGUACUAGGUGUCGGGGGUUACCCCCUUCGGUGCCGCAGCUAACGCAUUAAGUACUCCGCCUGGGAAGUACGCUCGCAAGAGUGAAACUCAAAGGAAGUGACGGGGACCCGCACAAGUAGCGGAGCAUGUGGUUUAAUUCGAAGCAACGCGAAGAACCUUACCUAAGCUUGACAUCCCAAUGACAUCUCCUCAAUCGGAGAGUUCCCUUCGGGGACAUUGGUGACAGGUGGUGCAUGGUUGUCGUCAGCUCGUGUCGUGAGAUGUUGGGUUAAGUCCCGCAACGAGCGCAACCCUUGUCUUUAGUUGCCAUCAUUAAGUUGGGCACUCUAGAGAGACUGCCAGGGAUAA